rnacentral:rRNA from 1 species
UGCCAGCCGCCGCGGUAAUACGGAGGGUGCAAGCGUUAUCCGGAUUUAUUGGGUUUAAAGGGUGCGCAGGCGGAAUAUUAAGUCAGUGGUGAAAGCCCACAGCUCAACUGUGGAACUGCCAUUGAUACUGGUAUUCUUGAAUUUAGUUGAAGUGAACGGAAUGUAACAUGUAGCGGUGAAAUGCAUAGAUAUGUUACAGAACACCAAUUGCGAAGGCAGUUCACUAAACUACAAUUGACGCUCAGGCACGAAAGCGUGGGGAGCGAACAGGAUUAGAUA